GACGAACCGAGCGAACGUUGUUCGGAAUCACUGGGCUUAAAGGGCGCGUAGGCGGGUGCUCAAGUCCGUGGUGAAAUCCUCCGGCUCAACCGGAGAACUGCCUCGGAUACUGGGUGCCUCGAGGGUGGUAGGGGUAUGCGGAACUAUCGGUGGAGCGGUGAAAUGCGUUGAUAUCGAUAGGAACUCCGGUGGCGAAGGCGGCAUACUGGACCACCUCUGACGCUGAGGCGCCGAAAGCCAGGGGAGCAAA
rnacentral:rRNA from 1 species